AGCACCCUGGCGCAGAGGAAUCGAGCAUGGCUCAUAACCCUGAGGUCCCAGGAUCGAAACCUGGGGGUGCUA
rnacentral:tRNA from 1 species